CUGCACUAGAUGGGGCGGUAGCGGUGCCCUAUAACCUGCAAUCCGCUAUAGCAGGAUUGAAUUCCCAGCCUAGACUAUAUAUAUGUUGAGCAGCUUUUAGUAAGUGGUGUUGACAGAAUGGUCUCGCGCAAUGGAAACCUAUGAACCAUGUCAGGUCCCGAAGGAAGCAGCAUUAAGUAGUCAUUUUCAUGUGCCGCGAGGGCGCCUUUCUCGAGCAAACUGCUAGGAUAACGUCAGGGUAUAUAUAGACGAAGCUGGGUGUGCUU
rnacentral:SRP_RNA from 1 species